rnacentral:misc_RNA from 1 species
GCUGAAUAUAGAUCAGAGAUUUCAUUCUCUUCUUCUCCAAAUUUUACUGUAUUUGAAGUACUUGUUUUGAAGAUUUAUUUGCUGCAAUGGAAGAGAAUGUGGAAGCCAGAGCUAGACAUCAAAUUACAGAGAAUUGGGGUAGAUCGCCAUACAAGAUCUUACGGAACUGAAGAACCUUUUCUCUUGCAGAGUGGAGAUCAUCACGGUCUCCUACUAGCCUUUAACUGCACCCUUAACUGGAACCAAAUACCUUACAUGUAAAGAUAUAUGGCUUUUUGUGCUAUGGAGAAAUUAGGUUUCCUUGAUGGAACUUGUAAAAUGCCUGAAAUUAAUUCUUCAGAUU